CGGGGUGAGUAAUGUCUGGGAAACGUGCCUGAUGGAGGGGGAUGACUACUGGAAACGGUAGCUAAUACCGCAUAACGUCGCAAGACCAAAGAGGGGGACCUUAGGGCCUCUUGCCAUCGGAUGUGCCCAGAUGGGAUUAGCUAGUAGGUGGGGUAAAGGCUCACCUAGGCGACGAUCCCUAGCUGGUCUGAGAGGAUGACCAGCCACACUGGAACUGAGACACGGUCCAG
rnacentral:rRNA from 1 species